rnacentral:rRNA from 1 species
CGGUAAUACGUAGGGUGCGAGCGUUAAUCGGAAUUACUGGGCGUAAAGCGUGCGCAGGCGGUUAUACAAGACAGGCGUGAAAUCCCCGGGCUUAACCUGGGAAUGGCGUCUGUGACUGUAUAGCUAGAGUGUGUCAGAGGGGGGUGGAAUUCCACGUGUAGCAGUGAAAUGCGUAGAUAUGUGGAGGAACACCAAUGGCGAAGGCAGCCCCCUGGGAUAACACUGACGCUCAUGCACGAAAGCGUGGGGAGCAAACAGGAUUAGAUACCCUGGUAGUCCACGCCCUAAACGAUGCUGACUAGUUGUUGGGAAUUUACAUUCUCAGUAACGUAGCUAACGCGUGAAGUCAGCCGCCUGGGGAGUACGGUCGCAAGAUUAAA